UUUAGUGUAAAAUAUGCUGGAGUAGUAAUAGUUAUGAUCUUCAAACUUAAAAAAUUUGGCGGUAUUUUAUCUUAUCAGAGGAACCUGUUUAGUAAUUGAUAUUCCACAACUAAUUUUUACUUUUAUUAUAAUACUUGUAUACCGCCGUCAUAAACAUAUUUAAAAAUUUAUUUUUUUUCGUUUUUAUGAAAUUUAUGUUAGGUCAAGGUGCAGUAUGUAAAAGAAACAAAUGGGUUACAUUAUGGUAGUAUGAAAGAAUUAAAUUAGAUAUAAAUAUAUGAAAUUGGAUUUGAAAGUAAAUUUUUGUUAAUAGAAACAAUAUGAAUAAAGAUUCUAAAAUAUGU
rnacentral:rRNA from 1 species